rnacentral:rRNA from 1 species
UACGUAGGGUGCAAGCGUUGUCCGGACUUAUUGGGCGUAAAGAGCUCGUAGGCGGUUUGUUGCGUCGGCUGUGAAAUCCCGAGGCUCAACCUCGGGUCUGCAGUCGAUACGAGCAAACUAGAGUGUUGCAGGGGAGACUGGAAUUCCUGGUGUAGCGGUGAAAUGCGCAGAUAUCAGGAGGAACACCGGUGGCGAAGGCGGGUCUCUGGGCAACAACUGACGCUGAGGCGCGAAAGCGUGGGGAGCAAACAGG